GAAGACCUGAGGUAUCAGGGGUAGGGGUUGCUCUGCUUGUGUAAGUCCCAUAGUGUGAAGGCCAGAGAACCAAGAGAUGGUCAAGAAGAGAGAGUAAGUGUCCAAUGUCCCAGCUCAAGAAGAGAGACAAGACCAACCCCGCCUCUUCCUUCUCCUUCUCGACCUACUCAAAGUAAAGAUGAGGAUGAAGACCCUUAAGAUGAUCCACUCCCACUUAAUGAAUAAAACUUUUGUGGAUAGCUAAGUUACUGCUAGCCAUCUGAUUAUAGCAAUGGCUUCCAGGAGCAUCACGACCUGUGCAGACUCCCCAGCAUCAUAACAGGAAGGUCCCACGAUCACGAGCACAUUGCCUUCAGCAUCCAGCACUGAAUAUGGUGAAUUGCACUCUGAAGAGCUUCCUAAGCUUGUAAGAAAGUGAUUCUGAAAAGCUCAACAUUUUGGUAGAAUGGAGAGAUUUGACAUUGCUUCUGCUCCAAAAGCAAAAGACUUGGGAAGGGCACCCUGGGAGUUGAGAACAUCCACCACAGAGAGAAAGAAUGCUGAUCCCUGUUCUGGGCACCUGUUCUGCACCCUUUUGGCCAGUCCUUCCAGCCUGUGGAGACAGCUACUGUCCUUGCUGACUGUGCUAGGCCUGGCGUAAAGGAGAUGGGACUCACACCCAAGAGGAUGCAUUUCCAUACACCCAUUUCUGAAAUAUGAAGAGGUGUCCAGUCUGUUUGAUUCAUAGCUGCCUGUUCCACAACUGCAGAUACAGUAAUUGAUAACCGAGACCAAGUUCUCAUCCCCAUCUCCCAGGGCUGGAACUGGGGCUGUGUUUGGUUCUCAUAAGAUCAGUUCCAGUUUUAGAAACUGAGUAAAUUGUGGAGUAAAUAUUGCCAAGUGAUGGCUUUCUGCUGUAGGCGUGGGUCGCUGUUGGCCAUUUGCCUCAGCAUAUCACCAGCAAUGCACCUCAUUGCAUCACUGCAUUUCCAAUUACACCUCAAAGCACCACUGGUCCCCUGUCCACCCUCUGCCCUGCAGAGGUGGGUGUUCAGGGAGACAGAUCCAAAAUCUGGGCUCAGAAGAUGGAAAUGCCAACUGCUCUCAAUUUGAGAGUGGGGAUGAGACUUUUUGACUCAACUCUGGUUAAUUCAGCCAUGCUGUCAGAGCUGCUUUGAUGCAAGGACAUCUGAAUGCUAUCUGAAUGCUGCCCCUAAAAUAACAAAUUAAAAACAACAACAACAAC
rnacentral:lncRNA from 1 species